AUACGUAGGUGGCGAGCGUUGUCCGGAAUUACUGGGCGUAAAGGAUGCGUAGGUGGAUACUUAAGAGGGAUGUGAAAUCCCCGGGCUCAACCCGGGAACUGCAUUCCAAACUGGGUAUCUAGAGUGCAGGAGAGGACAGCGGAAUUCCUAGUGUAGCGGUGCAAUGCGUAGAUCUUAGGAGGAACACCAGUGGCGAAGGCGGCUUUCUGGACUGUAACUGACACUGAGGCUUGAAAGCGUGGUUAGCAAACAGGAUUAGAUCCCCUGGUAGCCCACGCCGUAAACGAUGGGUACUAGGUGUAGGAGGUAUCGACCCCUUCUGUGCCGUCGUUAACACAAUAAGUACCCCGCCUGGGGAGUACGGUCGCAAGACUAAAACUCAAAUGAAUUGGCGGGG
rnacentral:rRNA from 1 species